CAAUUUUUCCUCUUCUGGUGGACAAUGCCUUUCCCUGUAUAUCAUAUUUUCCCUGGGGAAUUUCAUUGCUCGGUCUUGCUCUUGACAAGGAGUAUAAUCAGCAUACUUAACAUCACAAGGCUUGAACACUUUGGCUUUAGGUUCAGAGGGUUCAACUAUCUCCUCCAUAUUGUGAUGUGUUUCAAAGUUCAAAUUAGUAAAGACAUUGCUGCAAUCUGUCUGCUUGGUUACUGGAAAUGCUAUGCUAUCUCUUUUUCCAAAACCACUCUUUUCCCAUGCUCCAAGAAGGUAGAAGAAACAACACAGAGCAAUAACAACGAAUAUAGAUAUCGUGCUUCUUGUUCUGUUUCCUGGAGAAUUAUGCUUAGAUUUCAUGAUAUUGUUGCAAUUAACUCCCUCAACCCUGCACUAAUAAUAGAAAACUUAGAGUCGAUUAUUUGAAGUAAAUGGUCAAUAGUUGAGAACUGACAGAACAAGUAUGCUUAAAGAAAAAAAAAAAUCAUUAGCACAUUGCAGUCUGUUAUAAAUAAAUAACAUAUCUCAACAACUUGAUUAAUUGUUCCAAAGUGUGGUUAAUUUCUCCUAGCCAAAUUUGCAGUCUGAUAUACAUCAGACUUUUAAUCAGCUCAACUUUUGGUAAAAUACCUACCUACAGAGGAUUUUGCAUUCAUUCUACUUUCAACCAACGUUGAAAACACAAAUUCGCCCUCCGUUUGGAUGAGGGAAAAUAACUUGGAAUUUAGCUAAAAGUUGGGAAUUUAAGAGGAGAAAUUGACAAUUCCCUUGUUUGGCAACUUAAGUGCGGAAUUUAUUAAAUGACGUGCGGAAAAAAUCGUGGAAAUUGGGGCAUCAAAUUCCCAAGUUUAAUUUCCGCCAAAAUAGGUGUCAUUUCACAAUUUCCAUAGUGUCAUUUACAAAAUUCGACAUACAUAAAUCCAAACACUGAAAUCUUCAAUUGCCAGAAAUUAAAGUUAUAGAAAUCUAAAUUCCAUAAUUUUAUAAUUCUAUGUCAUUUUCAAUUCCUUCAUCCAAAUAGAGGGAAAAUACCAUCAGAUCUGUAUCGAGAAGUAACUAAUUGACACAAAAUUUCCUGGAAGAUAAUAAAAUAAAUCCAGAUGGCAUCACCGUUUCAAGAUUGAGACAUGAGAAACAUGACGGAUUCCGGAUACGGUAAGUUUCUAGAGGCUAUGAACUACGCAUACAUUUAUGAUUAUGGACUUUAUGAAAUAAGCAGCAACUAGAUUUGUUGAAGAGAGAGUGAGUUUGCAAUCACAGCAGGAUUAAAUGAACUAAUGAAGGAGUGGAUUAAAUUAAACUUAGAGACUUUCUGGUAUAUCUAUUGUCCUUGCUAUUCCAAAAUAUGGGAUUGCAUUAAAUUAAGGAUUUACAUCACCAGUAGGCAAACGUUACAUUUUUACUAAUCUGUAGCUCUUCUCAUUUUCUUUCUCAGUUGGGGAUCAAGAAUUACCACCUCCAGUCCAAAAUAGAAAGUUAUCAAUCAUCCAUUGCCUUAAAUCAAGCUGCCCUCUUGGAUACUAAAAUGUUCAAUCCCUUGAUCUGAAGCCAAGAUGUACAAACAAUGAAAUUUAUAACUAAAUCUUAAACCUUUUAAGCCAAAAACAAAAACAAGAUCACACUCUUUGUCCACACAGCCCAUAAAAGAAAAGGCAAGUGCAAGCACAGAUCUUGUGCUAUUAUACAGUGGGAAGAAAACAAAAAACCAAAAAAUGACAUUAAAAUGAAGCAAAGAAGAACAAUGCAUAAAGAGAAAAUAGUAAGAGGUGAAAACCGGGAUCAAAUAGCUAACCUGAAAAUGGGAGAGAAUGGUGUGAAAGCUUUAGAGAGAUGAGCCCUCCAGUGGGUAUAUGGUAUUUGAAGUUCUCUCUCCCUCCACUCCCCCGACAGUGCUAGUUACUAGUGAGAGAAUAUGCGAAGCAGAGAGAGAGAGAGAGAGAGACUGAAAUCACACUGAGUGAGUGAGUGGGAGAGAAUUUAUGUAGAGCAGAGUGAGAGAGUAUAUAGGAAGAGAGUGAGAGGUGGUGGAGGCAAUUUAGAAAUUUGAUGACUUUGGUCUUCAACUCUGCUUUGGAAACUCACUUGGUUGAACUUGAGUUAUCCGCCGACAGAGCAAUUAUGCCCUACCCUCUGGAGCAUGCAAUGAGCUGUAGCCCUUCCGAGGACAAUUCUAAUCCCAAAAUAAAACUACAUAAAAGAGGUAUCUAUGCCAUGCGACUCGUAGUCAGGGUGGAACUAAAAACUUUCAUACGGAUGAGCUAUAAAUGUUUCUUUUUCGGUUUAAGUAGAUGCAAGGGUUGGAAUGAGGUGAGUUAAUUUUCACUAAAUAUACUAAUUUUUUUUAAAAGUGACACUAAUGUUUAUUAAUUUGUAAUUGGAUUAUGAGGAAUUGAAUUGAGGAGGUGUUGGAUUGAGGAGAAUUAGAUUCCAGAUUCCUAAUGAAGUUGUUUAUUAAAUAUAUGGAUUUAAGGAAAUUAGAUUCCGGAUUCCUAUUGAAGUUGUUUACUAAACCAUAUGGAAUUAGGGUAGGAGUGGUACUAAUUACUAAAAUAUCCUCGUUGUUGGGUUAAAAUAGUUGGCAUAUUUGGAAUUUCAAAAAUUGUGCAAGGAUAUAAUAAGUAAAAAAGAUGAAUUCAUAAUGGGUUAAUUCUCUAAGAAUUAUAACACUGGAUCCCACCAGAGAAUGAAUUCCUCCAAAAUCAGGAAUUCAAUUCCUAAUUUGUGUGGGUCCCAUUUACUUUUCAAUUCUUUUUUUUUUGGUCGAAAUCUGAUGUCAUUGAACAAGCCAAACGGGAAGGAGCAAUACAGAGACAAAAGCAGAGCGAUACAAACAGAGUUGGAUCAAGAAACAGCUAGAACUCAACGCAGCCUAGAACACAGCUUCUAACCCUAACAAAAUUGAACUAAUUAAUAGGGGGCAUGGGAGCCCAUUAGAGACGAGGACAUGCAUCAGCGAUAGAGGUGGUCGAUUGACCCAAAUUUCCAGUUUCACCGCUCUUGUACCUAUCGAUGUUGCGACGUGGGCAGCUCAAUUCCUUUUGCAGGGGAUCCAGUUCCAUUCGAUAUGGGGGAAGGCAUACGAGACCUUCCUAAUCUCCUGAAUGAGGGGAUAGAUUGUCCAGAUUCUAUUGCCAACAGCCCCUUUGAUCCUAUCACACAAAAUCUCAGAGUCAGUUUCAAAAAACACACGAUCACAUUUCAUUAGUUUUGCUAAUGCCAAAGCAUGGAGAGCAGCCAACGCCUCAGCCAUCAGCACUGAACUACUUCUUGUCGGAAAAGCCAUACCACCUCGCAAUAAGCCAUUUGAGCCUCUUGCUACAACUCCCAAGCCAGCCUUAUGGGAAGACCAAUCCCAUGCUGAAUCAAAAUUAACCUUAAUCCAGCCAUUUCUGGGAGGCAGCUAGAGACAAUCGUUAGUUUCGCCCACCACAAAGGCAGAUGGUCUGGUUGGUUGAAUAGAUGUAGAUAAGAAAUUUUCCGCCGCCUCCAUAUCACUUGAAAUGACCCUGUGUGGGUCUGGUUGGGUUCAUUCAAAGCAGAAUUUGCACCUCAUUUUCCAGAUCCAACAUGAAGAAGCAGAUGUGAGUAACAAGCCAAUCCCUUUCAACCAUCAAAGAGAACUCCCAUUGCAGAAGGUCUUUCAGCUAGUUAUCAAUUGUAGUAAUGCAUUGGGGAUCGACACGGUAAGAAAAAGGGGCUCCAAACCAAACUGGCAAGGUUCAAGGGCAUAUCAAAAGCAUAUGUUCAAUAGAUUCCUCAUGCAGGCAGCAAAAUGGGUAGGUGGGGUUGGGAGAGAUUUUUUGUCUAAAUAAAUUGAGCUUAGUGGGGAGGAUGUUUUCCACCAUUCUCCAGAUAAACAGUUUGAUCUUGGUGAUAGGACCCGCCCUGGAAUUCCUCGAAAACCAGGACGAAUCCCGUCUUGUUACCGACAUCACCCUAUGUCGGGCCUACUUACUAAAAAUUGAGACUUUCUACCAAAAAUUUGGCAAUCUCCCUUGUAAAUUGAGCAAUCCCAAAAAUUUCAACCUGCAUAAAUACAUAAUAUAAUCCCAACCAGCAGCAUGCAUUCAACAUUUAACAGUAUACACUAAAUGGCCUCCGGUCUCACAAGUAAAACCUAACAUGGGCAAUAACAGAGCAUUUAACGAAUUUAGUUUACCAGAACAACCAUUUGAGUAGAAGGAAAUUACUUGAAACCUAAUCUACUGACGUUCACGGUUCAGGGCCUCGAACACGGCUUGCAACUUUCCGAAACCCAUCAGAGCGACUACUGUUUGGGGGGCGCAAAACAGAAAACAUGUGAGUGGACAAAAACAAAGUUUGCAUUCAAAACAACAUAAUAACCCCACCGUGUAAAAAUAAUGAUCAAAACAUGCAGAUUCAAUAACUUUUAUUUAAUGAUCAAAAACAUCAUUCUCCGAAACCCUUUAAAACUAAACACUCUUUCCAUAAACUUUAUUCCCACAAUUAUACUUCUCUUACCAAACCACUGUAUAUACUUUAACCGACUUACCCUCACACACACACACACACACACACACACACACACACACAUAAGUAUAAUUAUAUAUCCAAAAAUAUACAUAAUAUUUAUCACACUACUUAGGUACCGGGAAACAAUCCAACCAGGGGAUUGUUUGGCUAGCCCGCAAGAUUUCCUGUUGCUAUCCUGCGUCUAGGGAUGAGCGGUCCAACCGGGGGACGAAACUCCAUAGCUCACACGCCGAAAAUUCCAACGCCACGUGUAGCUCCAAUACUAAGUCCUACGCGCACAAACUACAUCAUCGCCGGAAAUUCCAACGCCACGUGUGAUGAUUCCUAGCAAUUCACAUAAUCUUCCCAUACACUGGAAAUUCCAACGCCAUGUAUAGGAAGUGUCUCACACACCUGAAAUUCCAACGCCACGUGUGAGACUUAAUCAACACAUGUUCUUCCCACAUGUCGGAAAUUGCAGCGCCACGUGUGGGAAGCCUAGUAACUAGGGGAUGGUAUUUACAUAAUGUAAUCAUAUAACUUCAACCCAUCAUACUAAAUUCCCAGAUCCCCCAAAUUUCAACUUUUCCAAUCAAAAAUCACAUUCUCAAUUUAAUAUUACCAACAUCUCAACUUAUUAAUUUCUCAAACUUUAAUCCAAAAUAUCUAUAUGUAUAUAAAUAAAUCCAUUUUAUGCAUAACCUUCCAAUCAUAUAAAAUAAUGCAUAUUUAAAAUAAAUGUCCACUCACAAGCAGUCCCACGCUACCUGACCCUGAGAGAGUCCCGCCUGCUGCGUACGAGAGGCCAGAGCACCUAUUUCAAGAUACGAACCCUUAAUUAAUAUAAAAUCACUUCGAAAUGGAAUUCACAAAUUAAAUACUUAUUUUUCCAUGUUCCCGAUGCGUGUACGUAGAACGAGGUAUUCUAAGGUAUGACUACGGGUUUAGGAAACACGUCCUGCAGGUUUGGUCAGAAAUGGACAGUUAUCGCAAACCAUAAACUUCAAGUUAUUGAAUCGGAACAUCCGGGGGGCUCCGAUUCAUGAUCGACAAAUUCCUACACGAUUUUAGGAGUAUCUAGAUCAACAUAUUUUGAUUUGGAAACGAUAUAAUGGUUCAAACCUAUCGAACCCGGAUAACGCACAAUAGGCGUAACUCCGUUCGAUAGUCAAACGACAUUUGAAUUAAAAUCCGAGCACACCUACGCGCUCGUGACAACAUGAGGAUCACAUCAUGACAAAAAGUGGCUUCACCACCCUUGCCCACACGCACCGGCAGCGCGUGGGUGUGUAGAGAAAUUUUCUACGACGGAAAAACUCCACACUGCAAUCCACUCUUUCUACCCUAGCUGUAACACCCUAUUUGGAGUCACUUUUGCUCUUGAGCCUACCCCAAAAAGUGACCGGAAGUGGCCGAAAACGCGAUCCCAAAACUGGCAAAAUUUCAAAUAGAAAAUUAACUAACCUAGGCUCCAAAUUAAUGCUACCCAACCAUCAGCCUGAGCAUGGAAAAUAGUCGAAAAUCCAUACCCUACUCGACUAAAUUGGUGAGGAAUUGAGAGAGAACGAGCGGUUUGAAUAUUUGGAAAAUUCAGCUCGUUUUCUGCAAAUUCCAUUGGCCUGAGUGCACGGUGGAGGCGGCGACGGGGUAGAAAUGGACGGGGAAGGAGAGGCAAUCCUUUUGGGACCAGUGCCGGCGCAAAGGACGGCCAGAGGUGGCGGCGGUGGCCUCCAAAGCUAUCGAUGAACAGUAUGAGGGAAGGGGUUUGUCGUGUGAGGGAGGAAUCGGGGAGAGAGAGAGAGAGAGAGAGUGAGGAGAGAGAGAAGGAAUCUGAUUUUCAUUAAACUCUUUUUACAGUUUUGCCACUGAUGAUGUUUUGCUCGUAACUUCUUCGUUACAACUCCGAUUCAAGCCUACCGCAUGUCUGUAGACUCAUCUCAAUACAACUUACGUAACCAUACCACUUGUUGUCCCAAAAUUCUACUGGAUAAGAAAUGACCAAAUUAACCCUAAUCCGAGAGUAAAUUCGUAAUUUCAAUUAAAUAAUUUAAAUGUGGAAUUAAAUUUGGAGUCGGGGUGUUACAUUUGGGGAGAGUUUUAAGUUUCCAAAGCUCCUUCCAAACCACAUCAGCCACUCUAUGUGAUGAAUGGUCACUCCCACUAAUGUUUAUUUCCAUGCCAAUAUGAGCUCUGUGAUACGCCGAUCUUACACUAUAGAAUCCAUCAGGAGUCCAUGGCCAAAUUCUUCUGUCAGGACAGUCCGUGAUGCCAACAGGGACAUCAAUAAUCAAAAAAUAAAAUCCGGUCUUAUGCUUCCUUCUAGAGCAUCAAAAUUCCAGGUUCGGUAAGGAAGAUCAAGUAGUUGAUUAACCAUAACAGGGCCAAAGAGAGGAGGGCAGGGCAGAGGGGUAUAACCCUCUUGAGAAUGUGGAAUCGAGUUGUCUUCCCAAAUAUUUAUACUCCCUCUAUCCAUAACCAGCAUAGCCAUAUGUUGUUUAAGUAGAUCCCGACCAUCAAGAAAACUCGCCCAAAUCCAUGACGGUCUGUGGCUAAUUCCAGCUUGCAUAAAAUCCACAUUUGGGAAAUAAAGAGCUUUUAGGAUUUUUACCCAUAAAGCUUGGGGAUUCAUCAAAAUUCUCCAACAUUGCUUCCCCAGCAAAGCCACAUUGAAGCUAUUCAAGUCUCGGAAUCCUAAGCCUCCUUUCUCCUUACUAGCUCCCUAUAAUUUCCAAGCCUUCCAAUGCAUCUUAGAUCCUGACUAAGAGUUUCCCCGCCAAAAUUUAGCAAGGUCGUCGUUAAUAUCAUUGCAAAGACUCUUGGGGAAUUUGAAGCACAUCAUUGGGUACGUGGGCACUGCAGUUGCCACAGCCUUAAUGAGAACCUGUUUGCCAGCCAGAGAGAGAGAGAACUUGCUUUCCAUCCUCCGAUCUUCUUCUGCACCCUUUCACGAACAUAACUUAAAACACUUUUUUUUUACCUGCCCUAAUAGGUGGGAAGCCCAAGGUAGGUCCCGAGCUGAUUCACAUAAGGAAUUCCAAAGGCUUCGUAGACUCGUAGCUUUUCUUCAUGUGGUGUAUUUGCCCUAAAGACAAUACCUGAUUUCUCUAAAUUAAUUCGCUGCCCCGAGGCACCACAAUAUUUGUCAAGCGAGUACUUUAGCUUUCUGCAAUUUUCCUCAUCAACUCUAAUAAAAAAAAAUAGGGAAUCAUCUGCGAAAAAAAGGUGUGACAAAACAGGCCCCCUCAUGGAAAGUUUAAUUCCCUUUAAAUCUCCACAACUGAUACUCUUCGACAGACAAAGAGAUAGAACCUCGCAAAUAAUCAGAAAUAUGUAGGGGAUAAGGGAUCCCCUUGUUUAAGGCCACAGGAAGGUUUGAAAAACCUCCCUGGUUUACCAUUCAAGACAAUAGAGAAAGAGACCGUUAUAAUACAGCUCAUCACUAAUUUAACCCAAGUAUCAGAGAAGCUCAUUUUCUUCAUGACUGCUUUAAGAAAAUUCCAAUAGACUCUGUUGUAAGCUUUAUUAAUAUCAAUUUUCAGGCCUGCCUCAAACUUUUUGCCAGCAUUCUUCAAUUUUAAGUAGUGGAAAGCUUCUUGGGCAAUGAUAAUAUUGUUUUGAAUAUGUCGAUUCGCAACAAAAUUAUUUUGAUGUUCCGAAACAAAAUCAGGCAUAAACGUCUUUAAUAUGUUGGCUAGUAUCUUGGAGAGAAUUUUGUAAGAGUUGUUGCAAAGACUGAUUGGUCUAAACUGAGUAGUUGUUUUCGGGGCAGGAACCUUUGGUAUCAGGGCAAUAGAAGUCUCAUUCAAAAUCUUCAUCUGUGUCUUACCUCUAUCGAAUGCCUCAGCCGAGAGGGAGACAAUGUCCUGGACAAUGUUCCAAUACUCAUGAUAAAAUAAUCUAGAAAAACCAUCUGGCCCAGGGGCUUUGAGAGACCCGAGUUGGUGUGAGGCAAGGUAAAUCUCAUCAGGAGUGAAAGGUUUAGUUAACUCCAAAUCCAUAGCUUCAGUGACUGAUGGGUUGACAUACUCCAGAAUCUCCUGGAAAUCAGAGAGGCCAGUAGAUAGAAUAAGAUUAAACGAGUAAGAUUGAAAAACAUCACGAACCUCUCUUUCUCCUGUGAGCCAAUCUCCAAAUUCAUUUUUAAUCUUAGAACUCUAUUUCUUUGUCUCCGCUGGAUUGUGGUGAGGUGAAAAAAUCUGGUAUUGGCAUCCCCUUCUUUCAGCCACUGCACCCUAGACCGUUGUUUCCAAAAGAGCUCAUUUUUUUUCCAAAGUUGAUGCAAUUCUCCUUUUAUUUCUAUCUGCCUUCUUGAAGGAUCCCCCACCACAGCACACUUUUGGAUCAACUCCAAUUCCUCCAUCAAAGCAGAAAUUUUAUGUCUCUCAUUCACAUUUCCAUUCUUACACUAGUUUAUUAAGUUGCAUUUACAUCUUCUGAGUUUCCGAACCCAUUGCAUUGAUGAGGAAUGAGAAUUACCAGUGUUCCAACUAGCUUGAAUAAUUUCUCUGCAUUCAGGAUUAUUUUUCUAUUUUGCUUCAAACUUGAAAACCCUCCUUUUUUUAAGAUAACUCGGGCAACUAUCGAGAGUGAUAGGACAGUGGUCUGAGCCCAUCUUUGUGCAGUGAGUAACGCAGCUAUUUGGCUAAAGGACUAACCACUCUGGGUUGACUAGACCCCUAUCGAGACUCUCAGGAAGGAUGAUCAAGUCGUCACGAGUGCGUUCAUAGGUGAAACCCAGGCCCUUGAAGCCCAAAUAAAUUAGAUUAUUGCUUUCCAUAAAUUCACGAAGAAAUCUUCUUCUUCUGGGGUUCCAGCCAAUCCCCCGUUCAAUUUCGUGUCUCUAAAUUACCUCAUUUAAAUCACCAAUAAUCAACCAUGGUAGACCAUCAUUCCAAUUGAAAUUACUCAGACCAUUUCAAAAAUCUUUCUUUUCAUACCCGUAAGGUGUGCCAUACAUCCAAGUACAGCGACAUUGUAAUUGUUGACUUGCCACACCAACUUUUGCAUCGAUCCAAUGUUUACAAUAAUCCACAGUCUCCACAAUAACUUCUGGUUUCCACCACACAUAUAUGCCACCUGGUUAGCCCGUAGGAUUCACCACAAAACCCUUAUUAUAACCACACUGUUUCCUUAGCAUCAAAAUUCUAUGAUCACACUGAUUAGCUCCUUCAAAUAUAGACCUGUCAAGGGGUUCCCCAAACCUUGAUAGUUCCAAACUAGUUGUAUCAUGAUUUGUGUGUGGCUGAUUUAGGCCAGCCAUCAUAACCAUUGUUUUGAGUACCAUUCUCUUGCCUCAACUUCUUCAGUUUCUGUUCAGCCUUCACAAGUUCUUUAGAAGGACUAACGACAACUUCACAAAGGUUACUUUGUUCCUCUAUUGCACUUCCGCUUUUGUUGGCAUAAAUCGUCUUCACCUUGUUCCCCUUCGUGUUACGGCUCUUUGAGCAUCACCUUCCUCUAAAUGCCAAUUUGAGAAAACCCCCGUGUCUUGGACUUAAUGAAACCCUUGUCCUUUUUCCUUUCUUACAACUUAUAGAGCUGGGGGUUGCAGCCUCUUCCUUUGCCUCACUUAUUUCCUCAAUGAUAAUAUUGUUGGCACCAAGUCCCAUAAUAUGACGAUCCACCCCAGUCGGCCCAUGAAUGCUGGCCCUAAGUUGUUGUAAAUUGUCGUUACACUCCUUAGGGAAGGCCCAUGGUGGAAGAGUAUCUGGGUCACACCAGUCUCGUUCUAAAGAGAGCCCAUUAACAACUAAAGUUAAGGUCCCAUUUUUGUAAUGGGUACCAAAACUCUUUGGGUCUCACAGUCUGCGAAUUAUAGGCCUACCCAACGUUGUAGAGGCAGCAUUUGUUGCAUGCUGCAGCAAUUCAGGUCUGUUUAAAACCUCAGACUGAGGGGGAGCAGCUGCAGAAUUUGACUUGUGCUGCAGUGAUGCAGGUCCAUUCAGAGCCUCAGACUGAGAAAAAACAGCUACAUAAUUUGUCCCGAUUUGCUCUCGGGCCUCGCAUUCUCCAUGAUCUCUGGCGAAUCCGUACAGACCUCCUUCUUCUCGCUCUCAUCGAUAUCUCCAGUGAUUCACGUCGAAACCACUCGUCGGAGCGGUCAGUUUAGCAUUGGGGAAUAGUAGGGAGAAGGCCCUAGAGAUAGGAGGAGUUCGCAUCUCUUCACCAUAAUGCCAAUUUUCUUUAGCCAUGCAUGGGUUUAGAGGCCAUUGACAACCUCUUGUGUGGCCUAACCUACCAUUACCCCGUGGAUGGACAUGGCAUGAUGAAACCAAGAGGAAGCAGUUUUGUUUCAUCUAGAUCGACCCGGAUUCUAAAAAAUCCUCUGAAUCCAGCUUGCUCUAUAUCUUCCACUUCCAUAACAGAGCCAACCCUUGCCCCCCAAGACUCUUGCAUUCUUACUGGUGCAUAGAUUCCUUGGAAACCCAUGGGCUUGAACCCAAUAAACAGCCCGGUCUACCGAGAUGUCAUGAAGAAAGUAAUAAAUUGGCCAGUGUUUUAUCGUAAAAGUAAAACCUUUGAUGAACCAUGGGUUGCCUUCAAGAAGAUGACGUGCUAUGGCCUCCUCACCUACAGUGAUAGUGUAACAACCCGAUCCUAAAUUAAUAGUUAAAUAUUAAAUUAUUCAAGGAAAAGACAAUUUUACCCCGAGAAUAUUGAAAUGAUUUAAGAGUUGACUAUUAUUCGGGAGGUUAAAUGAUUAAAAUAAGAGGAAGUAAAUUUACAUGAGAAAAUAAAGUGAAAUAAACAAUAACAUAAAAUGAUUUAAAUUAAUUUAGGCUUUUGAAAAUUAAAGAUAUUAUUUAAUAUAAAAAGGGGCAAAAAUGUCAUUUUAAGUUCAGGAAGAAAUUUAAAAAUUUCGAUUGUACCGUUGUGUAGGGCACAUCGAGAUGAGUCCGUAGACACGUACUGGGCUCAGAUCCGAGUUGUAACGAGAGAGAUACGAUCAAAAUUCAAGUUGGGGCAAAAUCAUAAUUGUACCAAACUGGUUUUUCAACCAGAAUCUCUCUCUCCCCCCUCUCUGGUGUGACAACACCCCUCCCCACCCCAACCCCCAAAACAGUACCUUCGGUUUUUUGCUUGCCAUCUCCUCCACUGGCCACCAAAUUUCAUGAUUUUGGUACCAAAACGUCAAGCUCACUUCCCUCUUUCCAUCUCGACCAACUUCAGCCGCUGGAACCACCGGUGCUGGCCGAAAAAUGCAAAAAAUUGAGCUGUUUUUGACAGAUUUUCUCAAGCUUCAUUCGAACGAUUUCGGGCACCAAAUCUUGCGAUCUAGAUAUGCUUUUCCAUGUAUUCUUCGAGCUCUAGCUGAUGGUUGGCUAGGAUUUGAUUGAUUUGUAUCAUAGAUAACCGGAAAUACGAAUUGAAAUUUGGCCAAUUUUCAAAUUGAAAUUUCAGCCACUUCCGGCCCUCUUUUGGGUAGGUCCAAGAACAAAAGUGAUUCCAAAUAGGGUGUUAUACCUAGUAUAGGAGUUUGGGCUGGCGGUUUGGAGUAUUUUCGGCUGCCAAAAAUUGAUCAAGCCACCCACACAUUGCCAGCGUAUAUGGGCGGUGCGUGGGCUGCAUAGUGAGGUCACUCUCAGUUCUAAAAUGAUCCUCGUAUUGUCAUGAGCGCGUAAGAAUUCGCGGAUCUCAAUUUGGACAACGUUUGAGCCCCGAUCGGAUCUCGCAUAUUGUUCGAUUUCUGGGUUUGAUACAUUUGAACCGUUGGAUCGUAGUUAUUCUCAUAUAUGUCAAUCUAGACAAUUUCCAAAUCGUGUAGGAUUCAAUGGAUUGGGAAUCGGAGUCCUGGAUACUCCUAAAAGGCCAACCCUAGGGCUAGGUUUACGGUAACCGUCUGAUCAUGAGUAGUCCGACCGUCUGAUCGAGACCAAACUCUCGGGACAUGUGUCCUUGGCAUUUUAAGACCUCUAGGAACUCUCAAAUUGCAAUCUUGAGGUCGUGGACCCCACGGGGUCCCGAGUUGACUUUUUGAGACUUAUCGCUUUUUGAGUCCCGAGACACUUCUAGACCGUUCUAAUAAUUGGAAAUGCUUACAUAGGCUUGAGAAUGACUUCAAAUACAAUGCACGCACUUCUAAGAGCCCAGGGCCAAGACUUUGGAUUAAAUAAUGAGGAUGAGCUCCAUAGGAUAUGGUUGAGCUUAUAGAAAGCUCAUGUGUGUGCGAGUGUUCAUUUGGUUUAGUUAUGGUUUUAAGUUCAUGAUUUUAUGUGAUUUUGGAAUGAGUAUUUAAUUAUUUUAUUUAUCACAUGUUUUUAUAUAUAUAUAUAUAUUCAUAUGGUUAAUUGUGUUGUAAGAUGAUAAAUAUAAUAUUGGAAUGACAUGUUAAUUAAAGAUUGAGAUGGUUAACAAACUAGCUAAGUAUUUAAUACAUCUAUUCAAUAGUUGAAACGGAUGAAUCAUAGUCCUUGGCUUUUAUCAGUUUGGUAUCAGAGCCACUCUGACGUGUAGUGCGAGUGUGUUGACGAGGAUGUUGGGCCCCUAAGGGGGGUGGAUUCUAAAUUGUCACAUCCUAGGAUCGGCUCCGCCGUAGCACGAUAUUGUCCACUUUGGUCUCCCUCUCUGCCCUCACGGUUUUGUUUCUGGGAACUCACGAGCAACUUCCCAGUGGGUUACCCAUCCUGGGAUUGCUCUAGUCCCAACUCGCUUAACUUCGGAGUUCCCAUGAUUCCGAAGCCAGUAAGCUCCCAAAAGGCCUCAGGUUAGAUGGAGGCGGGCAUGUACAUAUAAGGCAUAUCACCCCAUCUCCGUUGGUCAAUGUGAGAUGUUACAAUCCACCUCCUUAGGGGCUCGACGUCCUCGUCGGCACACUCACACCACACGGCAGAGUGACUCUGAUACCAAAUUGUCACAUCCUGAGAUCGGCGUCGCCGUAGCACGAUAUUAUCUGCUUUGGGCCCCCCUCUUUGCCUUCAUGGUUUUGUUUUUGGGAACUCACGAGCAACUUCCCAGUGGGUCACCCAUCCUAGGAUUGCUCUAGCCCCAACUCACUUAACUUCAGAGUUCCCAUGACUCCGAAGCCAGCGAGCUCCCAAAAGGCCUCAGGUUAGAUGGAGGCGGGCAUGCACAUAUAAGGCACAUCGCCCCCUCUCCGUUGGUUGAUGUGGAAUGUUACAGAUAGCAUACACUUUCUCCUUGGCUUUGGUCACCUUUACUGCACCCAUAUUGUUCCAUAUGGCUCGAAGAAUCUCUUUAACAACUGAUUGUGGCGGCUCAUACUCAGCGAUGAGGAGUCCCACCAAGGUAAUCUUGUUCUCCGGUCAUUCUUGUAAGUCUAGAAUAUCUUCAAAUUGUAUGGCUAGCUCAUCCUCGUAUGGAAUACCAUCUUCAUCCGGGAACGUUGCCAUCACGGGAAGAAAGAUGAGAUGGCUAACAGGAUAGAAACAAGUAUGACAGGAACUAACUCAAGGACUUUCUCGAGAGAAAGCAACACCUAAAACCUUAGGGAUACACCAAAGCCAUUGCAGCUCACAUCAGACCAUAAAGGCCACAGCUGCUAGUGUUUCAUGUUUCCAUCAAAAUAUUAGUUGAAAUUUGUAUACUUUUCAAUUUCUUGAUGUGAAGUAAACACAAGAAUCCUCCAUAGGUGGAAUUCAAUUUCUAAUGAGAAUUCCAAUUCCUGAUUAGUAAACACACAAUAAAUUCUUAUUCAUCUAAUUAUUUGGAUUGGGCUGAAGCCCACUCUAGUCUAAGGGUGGUUUUUGCCCUUACUAAGUGGCUAAAAAUACUUACAUCUACAUUCGAGCUCACAGUAUUUUGACUGGAACUUUUAAAAAUAACAUGAACACCAUUACUACUUAAAUGUUUUUCUCUUACAUAUUCAAUGGCGGAGCCUUGUUUAGGCCUGAAGGGGCCUGGGCCCCCCCCCCCCCCCCAAAUUUUUAACUCCAUUUAAUUUUUGCUUUUGCUUUCCUACACAUUUAGGAAGUCUAUAUAAUAAUAGUUUAAUAAUAAACUGUUUGUGGCCCCCUCACAAAAGAAAAGAUACGUUUCUCUCUCUUUGCAAGUAAAAGAGUAAGUGAUUUCAAAUAGAAAGACUAAGUAAUUUUGGGCCCACCAAUAUAUUAAUAAAAAUAAAAAGUAGCCAAUCAAAUAAAGUUUCGAAAAAUCUCUUUUAUCAAAUAAGAAAUAGACUUUUACUCAAAUAAAAAAGGAUUGAGAUUUAAAUUUUUGUUCUUAUAUGAAGCAAAGUUUAGCAUUGACUCAAUUACAUAUAGUUUUCGAGAUAUUAAAGAACGACGAGUGUUAUUUAGAUACCUAAUUGAAUAAACAAUUGUUUUGUGCCCUUUAUUUUAACAUACAUUGUUAAGGUUGAAAAUUUGAAUUUUUUAAUGUCUUAUUUGGUUUAUAUGUUGGCCCCCCAGCACAUAACUUCCUGGCUCCGCCACUGUACAUAUUACAUGUGAAAAAUAAUACGCAAAACAAAAGAAACUAAUACACACAUAAGUCGAAGAAAAAUCAAUCAGAUGUAUUCCAAUUUUAUGACGUGACCUCUCCACAUUCUCUAAAAAUAUACAUUAAAAUCAUAUACUGUUUCUUUAAAAAUAUAAAUUAAUGAAUACAUGUUUUGGCACCACUACCUAACUUAGCACCACUGCAGACCAUCGGUGGAAACAAUUAGUUAAAUCGAAAAUGCAAACAAUAAGUUAAAUUGGAACUCAAUUAAUCAACUAAUUAUCAUUAUUAUUAUUUCAAUGUUUUUAUACGAAAAUAAUGUGAUCAUCUAUUUAUUUGAUAGCCCUUACUAUUCAGACUAAUUUAAUUCAACAGAUUAUUACGUGUCAUUCUAAAAUGUCCUUCAAUUUUCAACCUGUUUUUUAUUUUAUUUUAUGGAAUUAAUUAACAAGCAACAGAUAACUGAACUGCAUUUUUUGUGUUGAAAUCCUAAUUUUAAUUUGUCCUAUCCACCAGAAAGAAGAAGCUAGCGGACCUAGAAAUUUUUUAACGGAGGUGCAAUAUUGACUAAGUAUGAAAAAUGGUUUUUCGGAAAUCAUUUUCUCAAGAUAAUUUUUGGCGGCUUUUAUUCCUUACACGUCAAAUAAGAAAAUUUGAUUUUAUGGGAUUUUAAUAUGAAGUAUAUAUUGACUUAAUGAGCCAUCAUUUUUAGCCAAAAUCGUAUUUGGCACUAAAACCGAUUUUUCAUAUUUUGAUUUGGUGGGAAUUUAAUUUUCUAGUAUUUUUAUUUGAAUCCAAAUGGGGGGUACUUCCUUAUUUACAUUGUAACUUAAGUAAAUGGAGUAGUAUUAAAAGAAAAAAGAAGAAGUAAAAUUACAAAGACAUUUACUUAAAUGUUGAAAAUGGAAAUAAGGUAACCUGUACACUAGUUGAGGAAAUGGGUAAUUUGAAGCACCUACAAUAGUUUUUCAGAGUGAGAGAAGGUGCAGCUGCACCUUCUUGCGCCUUAAUAGGUCCACCCAUUGUUUGUUUAUUCUUUUUCCUAACAUACAUACUAUAAAAUUUAAUAUAAAAAUAUUGAAAUGAGUUUUUAACCGCAAUGAUCCUUAAAUUUAUACCAAGGGUGGGGAAUCCAACAUGUAAAUACUUCAUCACAAAGUAAUUACAAAUUCCUUAGUUUUCUAAGGUCAUUUAAAUUUGGAUGAACAUAUCAAAUUGUUGUAAAGUGAGAGAUGAAGCCCACAUGAAGGAUGUAUUAGUCAAAAGCUUAAUGAUGAUGUUGGAAGCUUAGUUAAAAGCUUAAUGAUGAUGUUGGUUAAUGAAGCCAUCCAAUUUGUCUAUAAAUAGGCUUGCUCAUUCAAUUGUAGAACAGACCAAAGGAGAAGAGAGGAAAGAAAGGAAGAGAAGAAAUGAAGAGUGAGAGGAAACAAAAGAGAGUGAGUUCUAUCAGAGAGGAAAUUAUGUCAGUGUAAACAUCACAAGAGCAAAUAUAAUUCUACUCCCAAGAUUCAGUGGUACUUUUCAUACUUUAUUAUUUUAUUUUUAUAACACGUUAUCAGCACGAUAGUCUCUCUCCUUUACUUCUAAAUUUUCUCAACUCAACACUAUGUGGUUAUUUCUUUUUCUCUUCUCUAUCAUAUAUUAUAUUUAUUGCUCUUGUAUUACUAACCACUAAUAAAAAUGGACCCUUGGUAAUACUGAACAUAUUAUCAAUGGAAGGCUGUUAAUAAUACUAACACUUUUCUUAUUUUAUUCAGUGGUGGUUUUAUCCCCACAUUUACUUUAUUUAUUGUAUAGUGUAGGUUUAUUACUCAUAUAAUUUAUUUACUGUAUGGUGUAGGUUUAUUACUCAUACAAUUUAUUUACUGUAUGGUGUAGUUUUAUUACCCAUAUAACAGUAUUUAUUUGAAAGUGUGGUGCGGGUUUAUCGUCCACACUACUGCUGACAGGACCCACCCCGGAUUCCUCGAAACCCGGGACGAAUCCCAUCUUAAUUCUGACAUCAACCCGAUGCCGGGCCCACUUAUUAAAAACCGAGACUUUCUACCAAAAAUUUGGCAGAGUCUCCCAUGUAAAUUGAACAUUUCCCAAAAUUUCAGCAUGCUCAAAAUUCAUAAUUUAAAAUCCCAACCAGCAACAUGCUUUAAAGCGAAUAAACAGUUUACGACAAAGGCCUCCGGCCUCAUAAAUCAAACCCUAGCACGGGCGAUAACAGAGCAUAUCUAAGAAAUUCGAUUUACAACAAAAACAAAGUUCAAUGAGAAUUAAAUGAUGAAAGAUUCCUACGAAGGCUCAAGAUUUGGAAGCAUAUGAACCGGCUCGGCUACGGAGCUUAGUCAAUUACUGGCUGGGGGUGCAAAACAGAAAAGUGUGAGUGGACAAAAAUAAGAUUCAAUUCAAUGUAAACCAACAUAAUAUAACCCCACCGUUUAGAAAACCAUGCAAGAAAUCCAAAUGCAUCCCAAAACCAUCAUAAUCAAGUAUACAUAUAUAUUUAUAUCAAGUUAAAUCAAUACCGGAUGCCAAGUCCGAAAUCCAUAAAGAACACUUUACAAACCCACUAUUCAAAUAUUAUAAAUCUCGAAACUAAACUUUCGAAAGCGUACCCAUUGGCACGACCGGCAAGGAAGUAUCCUCACUAAACUCUCGAAAGCAUACCUAAUGGUUUUAUAUAUAUAUAUAUAUGACAAUCACCUAGUUGUACCAGGGAAACAAUCCAACUGGGGGAUUGUUUGACUAGUCCACAUGGAAGAGCCCGCAUAAAAAAGAAAUUCCUCAAUUGACCAUGUGGCUAGGGAACCAACCGUCCAACUGGAGGACUAACUCUCAGCCAGCACGUAUAGUCGACACUCUCAAAACUUGUAUGCCUGAAACCAGUCCUACGUGCACAGACUACCCGUCAAAGAUGCCCCGGGUUCCGACAUUUUCAAGUAUCUCAAGUUUCCAUAUCCAAGUUCCAAAUCCGAGGAGGUACAUAGGGUAAUGCUUAUAGCACUCCAAACUGACAUUCUGUACUCAAAUCUUUCCACAAUCUCAUCUCAACAACCCAAGUACCCCACACAUAGACAAUUAUAGAUAGAAUUUCUCAAAAUCCAUAAAUACAUACUCAAGAUACUCAAAUAUGUCAAAACCCAAAAUAUAUUGCCAAUGCAUCAUAAAAAUAUCAAUUUUAACAAUUGAAUAAAUAAUAUAUCCAAAACACCAUUAAAAUAUUAUGCAUAAUUUUUUCCAUCAUAAAACCAUGCAUAAGAUUUGAAAACAAAGUCCACUCACAGGAAGUCCCACGCUGCUUGACCCUGAGAGGGUCCCGCCUACUGCGUAUGCGUGGUCGGAGUACCUAUUUCGGAAUAUGAACACGAGAUUAACACAAAGUGUUUAGAACGAGAACUUUGAAUUAACAUCCUAGUUUUCCGGAUUUCUAGUGAGUGUACGAGGAACGAGACAAUUUGAAAAUUCUUAAGGGUUCCACAAGGUUUAGGAUACAAGUCUUGUAAGUUUGGUCCGAAACGGACGGUCAAAUUGCUCACGCUCACACAAUCGGAAGGUUAUCGUAAAAACCCAAACUUUAAGUUAUUGAAUCGGAACAUCCGGGGUUCCGAUUCACGAUUCGCGAAAUUCCUACACGAUCCUAAGAAUGUCUAAAGUAACGUAUAUUGGAAUGAGGUCAAUUCAACGGUCCGAACAUGUCGAACACGGAUAACGCACAGUAGGAGUAAAUUCGUUCGAUAGUCAAAUGAUAUCCGAAUUGAAAUCUGAGCACACCUACGCGCUCAUGAGGACUAGGAGAACACAUUGGGAUAAAAUGCACAUUUGCUAUAGUGCCCACGCGCAGCCACAUACGCCAGCAGCCCAGGGUGUCCAAAGCAAUAACGCUUCUCCGGAAAAUCUCAACAUCUCAGUUCAACACUCCUACCCUGGAUGUAACACCCUAAUUGGAGUCAUUUUUGUUCUUCCGCCUACCCCAAAAAGUGACAAGAAGUGGCUGAAAACGCGGUCCCAAAAUCGGCAGAAUUUCAAAUCGAAAAUCAACUAACCUAGGCUCAAAAUUAAUGAAAUCUCACCUAACCAUCAGCUAGAUCAUGAAAAAUAGGUGGAAAUCCAUACCUUACACGUCAAAUUUGGUGGCGGGAGGAGAGAGAACGAACAACGAGAAGUUUUGAACUAAACCGGCCUGUUUUCGUGAGAAUCUGUCAGCUACGAUGGCUGCCGGCGUCAGAGGUAGGGGGAACGGAAGGAGGAGGACGUGGCGGUCCUUUUGGGACCGGUGCCGGUGAAAAUGGAGGUCGGACGUGGCAGUGGUGGGGUGAAAACCAAUCGGCUGUUUUGAGAGGAAGGGGGAUGUUUGCGAUGAGAGAGAGAGAGAGAGAGAGAGAGAGAGAGAGAGAGGAAAAUUCAUAUUUUUAUCAAACUCUUAUGAUUUUGCCAUAGGUGAUGUUUUGCUCAUAACUUCUUCGUUACAACUCCGAAUCGAGUCUACUACGUAUCUACGGUCUCAUCUCAGUACGAUCUACCUAAAAAUAUUAUUUGUUACCCCAAAAUCUCUCUGAAGAAGAAAAUGACCAAAAUACCCCUACCCCAAGGGUAAAUUCUUAAUUUCAUAUUUAAUUGAAUUAAAUAAUUUAAACAUGGAAUUUAAUUGGAGUCGAGGUGUUGCAACUGCCUUUAUUCUUAUUUUAAAGUAUGGAGUAGAAUUAGUGCCCAUACAAGCACAUUUACAUUAUCGCACAUUUACUUUAUUAUUUAAAGUGUGGUGCAGAAUUAAAGUCCAUACAUGAGGCAAUUUAAUUUAUGAAUUUACUUUAUCGCACAUUUACUUUCAUUUAAAGAAUGGGGUGGGAUUAACGUCCAUAUAGCAAGCAAUUUACUUUAUGAAUUUACUUUACGGCAUAUUCACAUUUAUUUAAAGUAUGGUGUGGGUUUAUCGUCCAUACCAGCAAUUUAUUUACAAGCAAUUUAAUUUAUGAAUCUAUUUUAUCGCACAUUUACAUUUAUUUAAAGUAUGGUGCGGGUUUAUCGUCCAUACCAGCAAUUUAUUUUAUGGAUUAAUUGUGCGGUAUGAUGAGUUUUUACAGUAUACAAAUCAGGACCAGAAGCUCCUUGAUUCUCAUCAUACAACUACAUCAGGACUUGAAGAUCCUUGAUGAUGAUAUUGAUAUGAGAGUUGGCAGUCUCUUCGGUACUAUAUUUGUAAACAGGUGAUCGGACUUGAAGAUCAUUGAUCCUUGACAUGUAAAUAAGGACAUGGAGUUCUUUGAUGAUGUAAUAAUACCGUAUUUGUUAAUAGUGUCGUACACAUGAAUAGUAACUAUACUGGCAAAUGUACUAUAUGCAUGAAUAGACACAAAUUCCAUGACUUGAUGAAUAGUACCGUAUACAUGAAUAGUGGCGUAUGCAUAAAUAUUAACCAUUUUGGGUAAACUGUCACUAUAUACAAAAGGGAACAUGCAAUUCCUUAAACUCAUGGAUAAGCAAUUAAAUGAGAUGCCAGAAGUUCCUCAAAACAUGGACAAUUAUGUAAGGGCCUAAAGUUUUGAAAUAUAUACAAGAAAUUAUAAAAAUGUCCAUACUUUGAGAAUAUGUGAUUUUGCCCCGAAGUUCAAAAUUAGACAAUAUUGAGAACAUGAAAGUUCCAACAGUUAAAUGGACAACCCUUAAGGUAUUAUUGCAAAUUGUGGUACACCACUAUUUCUUUGGCAUAAGAAAAUGAUGAAUUUAAUAAAGUUCGAUUUUGUUACAAUCGACACCUCAAGAAAGAAAUAUAUUUUGUGAAUUCCGGUUGUUAAGAAUACACGGUGAAAUGGAUAAUAUCAGGAUAAACCUCAAAUGAUGAAUUGAGGCUCCCUAUAUAUUUUGUUAUAUUAUAUGAUAUGGGAUGGAAGCCCAUGGAUCCAAAUAUAUGAGAGAUCCCGAACCUAAAGUUUUGGGUACAUAGUAGUUAAUUCUCUUUACUACUAUAUUGCAAUAUUAUCAUGGCUUUUACUCAAUUUAUAUUUCAUGCCCAUUUGAAAAGGGCAAAUAAAUUAUGAGGUCGUGUUUAGCCCGGGCCAGAAGUUCUGGACUCACAUGCAUUGAAAUAUAUAAUUUUGAGAGAUUUGAUGUUGUUAUUUGAAUCUAUAAGGCACAAGGUUACAAACCGUCAUUUUGAAAAGACGUAAAAAUCACAGGUGCAAGUUUAAGAAUUUGCGCAAUUAUUAUAACAGGAAAGAAGGUAUACAACAGAUAGAUUUUUCCACCUACAAGGAAAAGCAGGCUCUGCAAAAUCUAUAAAAUUAAAUUAUGUUCUGGAGGCCUCUGAAGGAAGAUGACGGCUCCUCUUAAGCUUAGCCAUGAGCCUCUCGUGGUCUCCCAAAAUCUUUUCAUUGGAAACUUGCAGCAUGUCUAGCCUUCUCAGCGUAUCAACGGAGUACGAAGUCACCAGUUUCAACAAGGCAUUAUUUUCUUCUGUAAGUUUCUCAACCUCCUAUUGAGAUUCAUGAAGCAUUCUCUGGAGAGAUGAAUUUUCAGUGAUCAGCUCCUGAACCUCGUUUGCUCUAGCACACAAACGAUUAGCCAUGUUAGAAAUAGAAGCAGCACUCUGAAUGCUAAAAGCCAUUGAGUCAUCAAUAGCCUCUUCAUCAGACCUCACUAAUAACAGCAUUUCAUCCAUUGGAAUAAGGAAAUUCCUAGCUACUAUGACAGUAAUCGCAUCAUUCAUCAUCGCAGAAUCAUUAACCGUGAGAUGACGAUUUUGGGAUACCAAGGAUGGACGCCAAACUUUGGCGUCACGAGUUGUGUUGGGAGGAACAUUUAAAUCAAGAUGGUUUGGGCAAGAAGAAGAGGAAGCCAUUUUAAGAAGGUUUCGAAGAAAGUCUUAGAAAAACUGAAGUUUCAGAAAAUGAAGGAAGUUUAGUUUAAACGUAGUUGCUCCAAUCAAGUUUUGCAGAGGCAAUAUCUAUAGGCGGAAAUAUGGCUACGGUUUUCAGGAUCCCAAUAUUAUCUCGGAUUCCCAUAUUCUCUUUUUCUUUCCUAGAUUCCAAAACUUCAAGCGGCCUCCAUUAAUGUUUGUCGGCACUUUCGGCGUUCUCAAGUAUUAUUUUCGUCAAAGCUGAUCUUGCAAUCAAUGUCACAAUUUUUGUAUAUUUUCUUUCUUUUUAUAACUCUCUAUUCAUAAGGGAUUUUAUUUCUUUAGAAUGGACAUCUGAAGAAAGAAUCCAUGUAGUGAUCCUAACUUUGAGGGUUAUUUGUUUUGACAGAGACAAAAGAAUUGUGAUUUUUACUCUUGUAGGAUAUAACUAGAUCAUUAAGCAUUACGUUGUAUUUGCUGAGCCGAUACGAGCUUGGAAGAUAUUUGAGCAAAGUCUCUCUCACCUAAGGAUGUAAACGAUACUUAUGUUAUUUCAUACUUGUACUCUUAUUUUUUUUGUACAACAUCCUUGAAGGUAACCAACUGGGGAGAUAAGGCUGCUCCAGAAGAACGCCAUGCAAAGGACCAUUCCAAAAGAAUGACUUGCAUUAUAGAUCGUUCCAGAAGAACGACUUGAAUUAUGACCAUUCCAGGAGAAUGGCUUGUAUCAUUAUGAUAUGUAUUCAUGAAUUAUUAAAGCAAAUUUCAUAGAUUGCAAGUUGAAUACAUUGAUAAUAUACUGCAUAAAUCAAAGUCCUAUAAGAACAGAACAUGGGUAUAGCAUGAUCAAUAUGAUGCACACCUGUUGCGUAGCAAAUGAUAUGGAUUGAAGUCCCGGAAGGACAAUCCUUUAACAUGUCAACAUUAAUACGGUACACGCCUAAUGCAUAGCAAAUUAUAUGGUUUAAAGUCCCAGAAGGACAAUUAAAUUGACAUGUAUGUAUUAAUAUGUGGCAUACCUGCAGUAUGACAGAUAUAUGGGUUAUAAAUGUUCCAACUCCCUAAAUGGAGAUUAUCCACGCCCUACUGUAAAAUAACCCUCCAUUGGAGGUUAUGAUCCACAUUCUCACAUAAUUCAUCUUAUAAGAGAUGUAUGUCUGGAAAGAGACAAUAAAAGCCCCCUGAAGUAGCUUGGGUACCCAAAAGCAAAGAAAUGCUUAUAAUUGAUGCAUGCGCAUGCACAUGAGAAUGAUGUGAUCAUGAAUUGAUGAAUGACAAUUUUUGAUUUUAGAGUAGCUACUCAAAUCAUUAAUGGGCUGUGUUGAUUGGAACCACGUUCUAUUACUAAAUGUCGACAAUAUCAUUGGCCAAAAUGGAAAAAGGCAAUUCCAUUAUAGAUGAGUAUGAACGUGAAAGAACAAACCCACAGUACGAACCCCAAAAGAUGUUAAUACUGAAAGUUAUACUUGGGUGUUUGGAAUAAAAGGGAAUAUACCCACUUUGUAUGACACAAUGUUUAUAGCAGAAACAAGAAAUGUUGGGUUUUCUCCAUAUUUACAGAUUCAAUUGUGCCCUAUUAUUGCACAUUUACGGAGGCUAACAUGUUAUCUUUAAGGGUUAUUAAAUGCACGGAGCAUAUUGCCAAAAGCAAUUCCCUAAAGAUGCAUAAAUAGCUAGGUUAAAGCUAUAUAAUGUGUCAUAAAGUUUAAUCCCUUAAACAAAAUCCCUAAAAGGAUUGCAAUUGCAUGAAGCAAGUCCUUGAAGGACAUGUGCUUGAAGCACAAAACUUGUACUCAAUACUAAUGUGCAUAAAUUGCCUCAGUGAGUACAUUGAUUAUAAUAUGUUUGCAACACAUUAAAACUCCUGAAGAGUUCAAGAAAUAUUUGUCUCGGCCUGAAGAUCGAGCAUUAUGCCAACGGGAUUCUUGCUUAUACUAAAAAGAUAUUGAAGUAUUUUUAUAUGGAUUAUCCGUUGGGCACUUAAAUAAUUUUUCGGAAGUAUACUAGACCAGAUAUUAUAUUUUUCAGAUAGAGCUCAACUCCAUCACCACCACUUUGGGAUGAUGUGAGGCAUAUUUGAUGCUGUUUCCACAAAACACCAUAUAUGGACAUAUUCUUUUCAAGUGAAGUUAUAAAUAGCCCAGAUUUUGUUAAAUAUGCGGACUCUGGAAAUUUAUAUGGUCGCUUAUUGGAAAAAGUUAGUCAUGAAGAUUUUAGGGGAAGAUUUUUCAAGAGGAGCAUCCAACCAUAUUACAAGAUUGACUCACAGAAGCAGUGUCAACAGAUGAUCAAUAGUAUGGCUUAAAGAUAUUUUACCAAGUAUCAGGGGGAGCGUGCUGUCAAUAAAGACCUUCACACACUGUACUCUUUUUUCUUCGUCCAGGUUUUUAUCCCACUGGGUUUUUUCUGGCAAAGUUUUAAUGAGGCAGUGUUGCACGCAUGUCAAUAUACACAGAAUUUUAUGUUACACAUGGUUAUGUACUUUUUUUCAUUCGACUAGGGUUUUUCCCACUGGGUUUUUCCUUGCAAGGUUUUAACGAGGCAACAUGAGUGCAUUUAACAUUAUCCUUAUAUCCCAAAUAAAGUUGUACUCUUUUUCCUUCGCUUAGGUUUUUUCCCACUGAGUUUUUUUCAAGCAAGGUUUUAAUGAGGCAACCAAUCUAGGAACAAGUGGUCUCUAAGGGGGAGUGUUGUAAAGUGAGAGAUGAAGCCCACAUGAAGGAUGUAUUAGUCAAAAGCUUAAUGAUGAUGUUGGAUAAUGAAGCCAUCCAAUUUGCCUAUAAAUAGGCUUGCUCAUUCAAUUGUAGAACACACCAAAGGAGAAGAGAUGAAAGAAAGGAAGAGAAGAAAUGAAGAGUGAGAGGAAACAAAAGAGAGGGAGUUCUAUCAGAAAGAAAAUUCUAUCAGUAUAAACAUCACAAAAGCAAAUACAAUUUUACUCCUAAUAUUCAAUGGUACUUUUCAUACUCUAUUAUUUUAUUUUUAUAACACAAAUAUGUUUUUCAGAACAAAAGUGAAUAAAGUGCAUAUAUUCUUCUACUCAGAGUGUUGGGCAUGCAUGUGGGACUGUCAUACAGAUAUGCGAGAGAGCCUAGCAAUUGUUCAUAAUAUAUAUUAUAUAUAUAAAGUACAACUUUUUAAAGGAAUCUUGCCAAUGUCUUGAAGAAUUUAAGGACUUAAUCAAGCUAGUUAGUCAAACAUUAAUAAACUUAAGAUCAAAAUUAAUGGAAGAAAAUAGUGUAGUCCGUAUUGAAUUGGGAACCGAAUAAAAAAUUCUAAUCAAACCGUUAAGUUCGAUGAAGGGUUAGUUAUAAUCUUCCAAUGAAUAUUUUCUGCUUGACAAAUAACGCACCCAACAACAAAAAGAGAUUGUGCUACACUACCACAAAGUGACUAGCAAAUAUUGAACUUACCGCAAAUAUAUAUAUAUAUAUAUAUAUUGUUUUUGUAUUAUUGUGAAUAGAAUUUGUGACUUAUUCUCCAAUUAAGUGGGAAUAAUUACCACUAAAUCAGAAAUUAGUUGGCAAUGAUUCAUUGCUAACCUUCAGUUUGAUGUUUAUAAUUCGGAUUUCUAGGGCUGUAAAAUUAUUUUCAAAUUAGAAAGAGAAAUAUCACCAUAUAAAAACUAGUUCAUCAGAUUAGACUGUAACAUUUCUUAGUAAUCCCAACAAAGUAUGGAUAAAAAAUAUACAAGCACUUUUGUUACCAUAAAAUCAGAUUCCUGUUACAAUAAAUUUCAGAUAAAAGAAAACAAAAAGGGAGACUUCACCUCAAGCAAAGUAAAAUCUCACAUGCCAUAAUAAGGUAGGACCAAGAAUCCAAGAUCAAGCCGUUUGAGUCAUGGUGAUAGGCAUUGAGUCCCAUAGGAUAAUUUUUUUUUUCUUUUUUCUGCUGAAUAAUAAUUAUUAGAACGUUGGCUGUUGGAUCAUCUGCCCUCCAUAAUUAUUAGAAAAAGGGCUUAUGUUGUUCAAGGUGGGUGCCUAUAAAUGUCAAGUGAAUUAAUUAAUGAAAAAUAAAGGAUGAAAGUGACAAACAAAGACAUGAGAAGCAGCAUGGCUCAACCACAGAUACUCACCGAAACAGAAACGAAACAGACCUCCCAAAUUAUAUAUAUAUACUAAGCCUCAAAGUUGUUACAAUUUACAGUAGUUUGGUGCCACCUACAUUUGUGGUUUUUACAAGCCUCUAAAAGUUAAGAAUUUCAAGGUAUACAAUUUAUUUCUCCUUCUUUCUAUAUUACCUAUUCUUAUUAAGCAGGCAAGAUCUCUCUGUCUCUCUCUAUUUGAGCAUGUGGAUAAUGAAGUCUCUCUCUACUUGAGCAUGUGAAUAAUGAACCCUAGGAGCUUAGUAUUUGUUUGCAUCUAAACAAAAUAUGAUUUUGAGUUGAUAUUCUGAACUAAUUGAUCAGUCUCUCAGCUAGAAGGUAAAGAUGGUUACUUCUAUAACCUAUAGCUAUUUAUAGAUUAUUACUGCUUCUAUAGCUUACUUCUCCGUUAAAUUAUCUUGAUUCUAUAACAAACUUGCUCAUUAGGUUAUCUUAUUUCUAUUUAUAGGUCAUUAGGGGUUCAUAGGUUAUUUAAAUUUUGAUUUGUGCAGUUUAUAUUAGUCUUAAUUCUCUGUAACAAUAGACAGUUUCUUUACUAAAGUUUUCUCAUUUGUUUACACUAACACCUAUCAUUUACCAAAUUUAUGGCAACAAAAUGAACAUCAAAGCUCAAGUGUUUUGGCUUUUGGCUUAAUUCUCUUGUACCUAUUUCAUAAUUGUCGCAAUUGUUCUGCAUUUGUUUUCAAUUGGUUCAAUAGAUUGAGUUUAUACUUUUGUCUAUCAGAUUAAUAGAAUGCUUAAUGUAUCUCGAGUGUUGUUUUUCCUGUUUCAUUUUUUAACUUCAUUAUGUCAUAAUAGUUAUUGCCCUCACCCAAAUUUUUCCAUUUAUAUACACUAACACCUGCCAUUUUCCAAAUUUAUGCCAACAUAGUCAACACCUCUGUAGAGAAAGAAAGAAUUUAAGUCACCUGCACAGCAGAGCCAACAAGACUUAGAUCCCCUUCCACCAGACAUCAAAGUAGAGGAAUCCCUUUCCACCACCCAAUACCAUAUAUAUAAACACAUGUUCAAAUGCUCAUAUUUUAAUUUUUUAUAGCUGCUUAAUUUAUUAAAAUAUGCCCAAUAUUUUCAAAUAACAAGCAGCACAUAAAACAUGUUAGUUUAUUUUUUUGUAAUUUAAGCUUGCUAAACUAAGCAUGAUCCUACUAUUUAGAUCUCCAUGGUUAUAUAAAUGGUAUCAUCUUCCUUGCAUAUUUUCACGACUUUAUAUACAUUUCCUAACAAUUUCAAAACCCGCAGCAUCGUGCGGGCACCAUUGCUAAUUAUAAUGCUAAAAUCAAAGUGUCUUUAAUUUCUCCAUUGGUUCAAUAACAAAAAGAGUUGAACAUGAAUAGGGUACAACAAAACUUAUAAUUUGGCAUACUUCUUUAUAGCAUCCCCGGCAUCUUUUGCAUGCUCUGGCACAGGCAUGUUGCAUAGAAGAGUAACUCUUGAUGAUGAUACUAAGGAUUUGAUGUCUGAGUUUGAAGGAUUAAUCUUCCACAGUCUCACCUCCCAAACCUGCCCAAAAUUGUCAAAUCAAAACAACUUUGAAUGAUAUAAUCUGUUUAUUGAAUAUAUUAAGUAAAUGAAAUGAUAAAUUGAUGAAAGAUUUAUAAAUAAAUAUAUAAAAAAACCAAUGUGGAGGGCAUUGGCACCCUAGUUGUUUCCUGCUUUGGAUAAUUUGUUAUUGGCAUUCACAUUUCCCUAGUUUGAAAUGGUGGCGAGAUAGUCUGGAUGGUGCCAACAUGAUUAUUAUAUUUCCAGUAGGAGAUGGUCUGUAAAUGGAGUGAUGGAAAGAAUGAGAUGGAAAAUUUAUGACCCUAUGGGAAUAAUGUUGUAGAGAAGAUAAAACCGUAUACAAUUUCUAAAUGUAAUUUGUUCUUUGGACACCUACACUACAACUAUUGUUGUAUUAGCAGUUGUAAUUACAGUUAAUUGGAAGUGAUACUUGAUGAUGAAGUGAUGUAGGAUAUGGGUGAAUUGAGAAUUUAUGUAGUUUAGCGGAAGCGAAAAUAAUUGAAAACAGAAAAUAGAACAAAAGGGAUAGGUCUGGAAUCUGUCCAGGGGUUUGGCUUCACACCAAGUAAUUUUCAAUCUCUGGAAAAUAAACUUUACUCAAUACUCAAAUCCCAACUCCCAUAAUGAAUUACAUAGAAGGGGUAUUUAUCAUAGUAAACAUAUUUUAGGAAAGAAAUCCUAAUCCAAAUAAAAUAGCAAACUUAGAAAUCCUACUCAAAUCUGGAAAAACUAAAAAUCCUAAUGAAUCUGGAUAACUUAGAGAACCUAGGAACUAACAAAUAAAUUAGGAAACUAAUUAAUAAUUCCCUCUUCCAUCUCUGUGGUUUGUAAACCCUAAUGGUUGACAAAGAUGUCCUCAUCAUGAAGACUGGAGAGAACUAGGAGCCUGCGAGAUGGAUUAUAAUUAAGAAGACAAGGAGGUUAGGAAUGCGACGGUGAAGAGCAGAGGAACCUGAAUGGUUUUGCCAAGAUUGACAGGCGUGGCUUCAGCAAAGAUAUGGUCACCAAGCUCAGCACGCUUCAAAUGGUUGAUGCUGAGGUGAAUCCCAGCCACCCUUUGAAAACCAGAGGCCAGGUGGGCUCCUAUGCUAGCCAGAGACUCAGCUAUGAGAGCUGAUACCCCUCCAUGCAACACCUUGAAAGGCUGGUCUCAGCAGCAAAGAAGAGUUAGUCAUGUUACUUAUUUCAUUAACAUCUUCUUUUACACUUUCAGCGGGAAAAAGAUACAUUAUAUGAACAAACAAACAAAGAUAGAAAGAAAGAAAGAAGAUGACGACCUGACAGCACCUUUGGGUGACAUGUAGGUGACCGGAGACCUUGUUUGGGGUUACCUCUUCAAUCUCGAACCCAAUUUCAUGAAGGGAAACAUCUAAAGCCUCCGUCUUUGACCGCGGUGAUGGUGGUGGUGGUGCUGAUGAUGGCUUGGAUUGGGACCGGGAAGCCAUAUGUGUAUAUGUUGUUACAAUUGUGGUAUAUAUCUAUGCUCUUAGUUUCCUUCUCUGGCCUUUGGUGGUUUCCUUUGUUGUAUAGAUGAUAGAACCAAAGCAAUUCAAUUCCCAUUCAUUGUUGGCAGUUGUUUUUUUUUUGGCUAUUCCUGGAUGAGAGUGGGUGGGAAGACUUUUUGCAUUGGAGAUGACGAAUAUCAUAUGACAUACAGUUUGGUCUUUGGUUGGUGGUCGCAUGUCAUCCUAUGUUUAUCUGGAGGGUCCACUGUCUAGUUCUGUUCUGGUCCAGGGAUGGAUAGAUGGAAGGGUAGUUUAGUCCACACAUAGCAUUGUUGGAGACGAGGUUAGGUGGGAGGCGCGCCUGUUAAUCUGUAAUGUCUGAAGGAGGGAGGAGGAUUAGGUGGCUAGGCUCCUGGUCUUUGUCAUCUGUUCCUUAGGAAUAGUAAAUUGUCGAUUUUGCCCUUUACUAAAAUUUUCUUUAUGUUCCCUUUUUGCUCCUCUCUCUUUGGAUGCUAACUCUCCCCACUGUUUCGUUUCCACAGAACGAUCGUCCGCUUCGAACCAGCUUGGUUGGGCUGGUUGGGGGGCAGCCAUGGGAUGCACGGCUUCGGUCUUCGGGAUUCGUUGGGGGCCGUCAAUUUCCAUUUGGGCUGGCGCCUUGCGAAUCUUGCCGUUCGUUUGGUCUUCAUCUCAUCUCAAAAAAAAUAAAGGUUAACAAGCCCUGGAGGAAUACACUUCCAACAAGGCAAAUUUGUGUGUGUGUGUGUGUGUGUGAGAGAGAGAGGCAUACCAGUCAUGAUAAAUACCAAACGAGACCUCUCUCAUAAAUAACACCUAAAGUGUUCUUUGCAAUUGUAGGCACAACAUUCAUAACCCAAGAUUUUCGUGAUUCAAGGGCUGCUGCAAAUCCUCCAAGGCAUGCAUUCAUAUCCAUGACAUUCCGACAUCUGGUAGUGCCAAUCAAGUUGUUGAUUCUUUUAUAAGUAUUUACAUGCUUUUUCCAUUAGCUAUUCGAGGAGGGACUGCAUAAAGCUUUGCAGGAAACUUCAACGCCCCCACUGCUACUUCAUUUGCAUUGGUUACCUCAGGAGAGGGGGCUACGCAUGUGUCCAUUUUCUUGUACCUGAAACAUACCACAUCAAACUAAGAAUUAUGAUUGCUGUAACAAUCUAACUCUAGAACUGGAAUACAUCCUUUCAAAAAUGCCCUUAUCAGAAUUGAAUAGGACAUGCAUGUAUGGAGAAAACAAGAAGAAAAAAGGACGGCCAAAUGAACUUGAGCAAGUGAGAUAGAAAUAGACUGAAACUUCAUCACUGAUCUAAGUGAACCCACCUUGUAUAAUUGCAACAUUUGUAGGAAAUGAAGCCAAUCUUUGCAAUUACUAGAAUCAUAGGAUGACAAAGGAGGAAAAAUAACAUAAAAGCAAAGUAGAAAAGAGAAAGUUCUAAUAAAUGGAAUCUAAAGUUAUACAAUCAUUCUGCUUAUAUCAAUGCAUUUUAGGUAAUUCUGAACUAGGGGACCAACUCAAACAAUGAAAACCUGUCCAACUUCUACUGUCCAGAGAUUUAUAUCUUCUAAGACUCCAUAGCAUUGACUAACAUAAAAUUCAUAAGCACAACAUUUUCUUCUAAUCAAAGUGUGUGCAAGAACACAAUGGGAGGUAGGGGCUUUAUUACCUAGUGUUCCCAAAUAAAACAGAAUUAUUGUCUAGAACAACAUAAUAACUACAGAAGGACAGGGCACAAGAAAAUUCCAGUCUACAAAUAUGAAGUAACGAGUGAUGCAAGAGGUACAAAGAUAUUAACUGAAAACUUUUCACAAACUGGAGGCAUGCAACCAGCACAUCACGUUUACAGAGGGGUGGGAAUGUGGAAUAUGUGCAACAUGCCAAUUCGACUACCAUGUCUGUCUGUAAAACCUAUGUUAUGUUUAACAAUUUCCUAGAUAAGUGGACUGAUUUGCUGGUUGAAACCAUAGUCAGUAACCAAUUCACUACAUUUUUUCUCUUUGAUUACUUCUUGUCUUGAGAAAUAUUGGCAGGGAAAUCCAGCAACAGCUACUUCAUAUUAUAUAAUUUGAGGUAUUCAAAAAGGGUUUCCUUGCAUUAUCCUGUGACCUGUCACCUGCUGCAAAGUCCUGCGCCUCUUUCCCCUAACUGAGUAUGUCUCACUUCCCGAAAAAUCUACCAAACCUCAAGUUAGAGGCAGGGAGACUUUAUCCAGAACCAUGAGAUUAUCUUUAAACAUGAUUAGUGAAUAUUUAAGAACAAUAAACAAGGCUCCUCAGCACAGUUCCUGGAACUCACCAGACAUCAUCAGCAUCCUCUGCCUGGCAUACAUUGACAGACUUGCUUUUGCAGGAUUUUGUAUUAACUUUUUUCUUCCAAAUAGCCAUAUCUCCUUUCUCAUACUUUUUCUCCCAGCAAAGACUUUCAGCUAGUGCUUCAAUCUGUCUUUGCUCUGUCUGGACAUCCUCCUUAGACUACUUCCACGUUUUGUAGCAUGUCUUCCAAUUAAUUGGAGGUCCAGACAAGAUCCAACAUCCACCAGGUCUAAGCACCCAAUCAACUUCUUUUAGGUACAUCCCAUCUACACACAGCCGUUCAAUAUGUGAAUCAUUUAACUUCCAGCACUUAAAGAGAUAUUCAGUAAAUAAGCUAUUCUUGAAUGUCGAAACAUAGAAAACAAAGUUAAAAGAUGGAACUACAAUCAGAAGCCCUCUUUUAUAUCGAAGUCAACAGAUGAGGAUGGAUUGAGGAAGUCAAUAUCAACCAAAAGAAAACUUGGGAAAAUAAAAUUCUAGCACGGUCGGUAACUAAAUUAAUUGCCGGAUAUGUAAGACUUGCAGACAAUUUAUCACCCUUGUAAGACUUAUUUACACUUUUUGGCAUAAAAUCUCAUAGAAAACAUGAAGUUACAUAGAAAAAUAGUCUUCAAAAUGAAAGUGUGCAAAUCAGUAAUCACUUAUACCAAUGGAAAUCAAGUAUAAAUGUUUACCAAACGACUCUAAGCUUAUUUCAGUGGUCAACCUUGAGAGUCGAGGCAAGAUUGUGACAAUUAAUUUGACCAUAUGAUCUGAGUAUGGAAAUAGAUAUAGAUAUGUUUUUCUACUAUCUGUAUUCAACUUAAGAGUUCACUAAUUCAACUCUAAUUAUAUAUAUAUAUAUAUAUAUAUAUAUAUAUAUAUAAUACAGAAACUAAGGAAAUCAAAUGUGAUUGCUCCAUGCUGGUUACAUCAAGAUCUUACCAUUUGCAGUCCAUGGAAUUAAACACCGCGAUAUCAAAGGCCCUAGAUGGGUAUGGGAGACGAAUUGAUCCAAGCACACCGAUAACGGCAGGUACACCUCGCUCCAAUGCAAACUGUAAUUGUGCUUCAUGAUUAUCCCGUGGUGUAAAGGACAUGGCUAAUACAUUUCUCUUUAGCAAGUAUGCACCCCAACUUGCAACCUGUAUCAUGGUUGGUCUCAUUAGUAAAGAACCACAUAUGAACAAAAGAACUGUGUGUGAACAUGUAUCCUAGGAUAGCUCACUGCUCACAUACAUACAUGAUUUAGCUACAUAUAUAUAACACAGUAUCAUUGAAUGUGCAUUUGCAUUCACUAUACGCACAAGCAAAUCUACCUAACAUUCUCUGGAGACUGAAAAGCCAUUGUUGUACUCAUAGUCUUGGAUUGACUAAAGGAAGUUAAGUCGCUCAAAUUAAAUGCAGAUGACAGAAUGGCAAUGUGAAGCAAUGAAUGUACACAUGCAAAUGCAAAAAUAAAAGCACAAGCGUAGUUAAGAAAACCAACAUACACCACAACCAGUAUCCAAUGCUGUCCUGACAGAGCCAUCUGAAAUCGGAAUAACUGAUGCAAGUUCGUCAAUAUUUGCACCAGUGCCUUGGGGGAACAUUGUUCCUCCACCUGGAAAUUUGAAAACAUUUCCCUGAAACUGCACCCAGUUCUGAACAGCUUUCUCAACUGUCAGGCUUUUAUAAGGGACGUUGGCAUAGUGGACAUAGUCACGGCCUUUAGGCCAGGGGAAAAGAGUCAUAUAUCCUUUCCUUUCUGGAAUAAGACAAUGCAAUUUUUCCUCUUCUGGUGGACAAUGCCUUUCCCUGUAUAUCAGAGGGUUCAACUAUCUCCUCAAUAUUGUGAAGUGUUUCAAAGAUCAAAUUAGUAAAGACAUUGCUGCAAUCUGUCUGCUUGGUUACUGGAAAUGCUAUGCUAUCUCCUUUUCCAAAACCACUCUUUUGCCAUGCUCCAAGAAGGUAGAAGAA
rnacentral:lncRNA from 1 species